AUAUAUCAACCUUCUCUUGUUGAGUGGGUUUGGAUGUGGGGGUUUGCUGGCCUCUUAAGAGGUUUCAGCUACCUGAAAUGCAUUAGCAGAACAACCCUGUUCAUUGGUGUGAUAACUAUCUACGCUAUUGAAUGUGAAGGGCAGUUCGGCUUCUUAACAGUCCUUGGACAGCUCAUCAUUA
rnacentral:misc_RNA from 1 species